AAGUGGAAGUCAGAUGGCUGAGCGGUGAGGGAGUCGGGCUAGUAAUCUGAAGGUUGCCAGUUCGAUUCCCCGGCCGUGCCAAAUGACGUUGUGUCCUUGGGCAAGGCACUUCACCCUACUUGCCUCGGGGGGAAUGUCCCUGUACUUACUGUAAGUCGCUCUGGAUAGGAGCGUCUGCUAAAUGACUAAA